rnacentral:rRNA from 1 species
CCUACGGGUGGCUGCAGUGGGGAAUAUUGGACAAUGGGGGCAACCCUGAUCCAGCCAUGCCGCGUGUGUGAAGAAGGCCCUCGGGUUGUAAAGCACUUUCAGUGAGGAAGAACGCCUGGUGGUUAAUACCCAUCAGGAAAGACAUCACUCACAGAAGAAGCACCGGCUAACUCCGUGCCAGCAGCCGCGGUAAUACGGAGGGUGCGAGCGUUAAUCGGAAUUACUGGGCGUAAAGCGCGCGUAGGUGGCUUGAUAAGCCGGUUGUGAAAGCCCCGGGCUCAACCUGGGAACGGCAUCCGGAACUGUCAAGCUAGAGUGCAGGAGAGGAAGGUAGAAUUCCCGGUGUAGCGGUGAAAUGCGUAGAGAUCGGGAGGAAUACCAGUGGCGAAGGCGGCCUUCUGGACUGACACUGACACUGAGGUGCGAAAGCGUGGGUAGCAAACAGGAUUAGAUACCUCUGUAGUC